GGGGGUAUCAUGGGCGCAGCCUGAUCCAGCAAUGCCGCGUGUGUGAAGAAGGCCUUCGGGUUGUAAAGCACUUUUAUCAGGAGCGAAAUACUAUCGGUUAAUAACCGGUGGGGCUGACGGUACCUGAGGAAUAAGCACCGGCUAACUUCGUGCCAGCAGCCGCGGUAAUACGAAGGGUGCAAGCGUUAAUCGGAAUUACUGGGCGUAAAGGGUGCGUAGGCGGUUAGUUAAGUCUGUUGUGAAAUCCCCGGGCUCAACCUGGGAAUGGCAAUGGAUACUGGCUAGCUAGAGUGUGUCAGAGGAUGGUGGAAUUCCCGGUGUAGCGGUGAAAUGCGUAGAGAUCGGGAGGAACAUCAGUGGCGAAGGCGGCCAUCUGGGACAACACUGACGCUGAAGCACGAAAGCGUGGGGAGCAAACAGGAUUAGAUACCCUGGUAGUCCACGCCCUAAACGAUGCGAACUGGAUGUUGGUCUCAACUCGGAGAUCAGUGUCGAAGCUAACGCGUUAAGUUCGCCGCCUGGGGAGUACGGUCGCAAGACUGAAACUCAAAUGAAUUGACGGA
rnacentral:rRNA from 1 species